UACGGAGGGGCUAGCGUUGUCCGAAGUUACUGGGCGUAAAGAGCGUGUAGGCGGCCCGGUAAGUCUGUUGUGAAAGUCCAGGGCUCAACCCUGGAAUGCCGAUGGAUACUGCCGGGCUAGAGUUCGGAAGAGGCGAGUGGAAUUCCUGGUGUAGCGGUGGAAUGCGCAGAUAUCAGGAGGAACACCUAUAGCGAAGGCAGCUCGCUGGGACGACACUGACGCUGAGACGCGAAAGCGUGGGGAGCGAACAGG
rnacentral:rRNA from 1 species